AAAUUGAAGAGUUUGAUCAUGGCUCAGAUUGAACGCUGGCGGCAGGCCUAACACAUGCAAGUCGAACGGUAACAGAAAGCAGCUUGCUGCUUUGCUGACGAGUGGCGGACGGGUGAGUAAUGUCUGGGAAACUGCCUGAUGGAGGGGGAUAACUACUGGAAACGGUAGCUAAUACCGCAUAACGUCGCAAGACCAAAGAGGGGGACCUUCGGGCCUCUUGCCAUCGGAUGUGCCCAGAUGGGAUUAGCUUGUUGGUGGGGUAA
rnacentral:rRNA from 1 species